GACGAACGCUGGCGGCGUGCUUAACACAUGCAAGUCGAACGGAAAGGCCCUGCUUUUGUGGGGUGCUCGAGUGGCGAACGGGUGAGUAACACGUGAGUAACCUGCCCUUGACUUUGGGAUAACUUCAGGAAACUGGGGCUAAUACCGGAUAGGAGCUCCUGCUGCAUGGUGGGGGUUGGAAAGUUUCGGCGGUUGGGGAUGGACUCGCGGCUUAUCAGCUUGUUGGUGGGGUAGUGGCUUACCAAGGCUUUGACGGGUAGCCGGCCUGAGAGGGUGACAGGCCACAUUGGGACUGAGCUACGGCCGAGACUCCUACGGGAGGCAGCAGUGGGGAAUAUUGCACAAUGGGCGGAAGCCUGAUGCAGCAACGCCGCGUGCGGGAUGACGGCCUUCGGGUUGUAAACCGCUUUCGCCUGUGACGAAGCGUGAGUGACGGUAAUGGGUAAAGAAGCACCGGCUAACUACGUG
rnacentral:rRNA from 1 species